UAUGACGUCGACGUCGCGAUCGACGCGUCGGUCUGACAACUCUUUUUUUUUCUUUGUUUCUUUCUGUUACGACUCGUGCCGUAACAGAAUUCGGGUUUGCCGUCGGCAUCGACAACGUUGUUAGAAUUAUGCGGUGAAAAGUGAGACGCAGGUUUUGUUUAUUUUGGGCAAAAUUAUUAUCAGAAAAAAACCACCCGAUUGGUUCUUGCGAGUCUUGAGUCGAACAGGCGAUACAGUUGAAUGACCACGACGACCUUACGAUCAUGAGCAAAUCAAAAAACUAAAAAGGUUC